UACAGAGGGGGCAAGCGUUGUUCGGAAUUACUGGGCGUAAAGGGCGCGUAGGCGGCCAACUAAGUCAGACGUGAAAUCCCCAGGCUCAACCUGGGAACUGCGUCUGAUACUGGAUGGCUCGAGUUCGGGAGAGGGAAGUGGAAUUCCAGGUGUAGCGGUGAAAUGCGUAGAUAUCUGGAGGAACACCGGUGGCGAAGGCGGCUACCUGGACCGACACUGACGCUGAGGCGCGAAAGACAGGGGAGCAAACAGG
rnacentral:rRNA from 1 species